rnacentral:sRNA from 1 species
AUGGAAAAUAGCAGAAACUGAGGACUGAGA